GCCCUGCUAGCUCAAUCGGUAGAGCGUGAGACUCUUAAUCUCAAGGUUGUGGGUUCGAAACCCACGUGGGGCU